CUCAUGGUUUCACGGUAUUGCAAUGAGAACAAUUUAAAACCCUUAGCGAGAAUCAAGUGGAGGACAAGUCUGGUGCCAGCACCCGCGGUAAUUCCAGCUCCACUAGCGUAUAUUAAAGUUGUUGCAGUUAAAAAGCUCGUAGUUGAACCUCUGUCUGGGGCUAGUUUUGGCUUUGGUCAGGCUAGUUCUAGGCAUCCGCCUACAAGACUUAGAGGGCAUUCAGUUGUUCACUAGGAGGAGUAGGCAUUUUACUUUGAAAAAAUUAGAGUGUUUAAGGCAGGCAAUCGCCCGCAUAUAUUAGCAUGGAAUAAUAGAAUAGGACACUUUUCCAUUUCGUUGGUUAUUGGAAUCGUGUAAUGAUUAAUAGGGACAGUUGUGGGCAUUUGUAUUUAAUUGUCAGAGGUAAAAUUCUUGGAUUUAUUAAAGACAAACUAACGCGAAAGCAUUUGCCAAGGAUGUUUUCAUUAAUCAAGAACGAAAGUUAGGGGAUCAAAGACGAUCAGAUACCGUCCUAGUCUUAACUAUAAACUAUUCCGACUCAAUGUUUGACUGGCUUAUAUAACCAGUUGAGCGUUGUAUGAGAAAUCAAAGUCUUUAGGUUCUGGGGGGAGUAUGGUUGCAAAGCUGAAACUUAAAGGAAUUGACGGAAGAGCACAACCAGGAGUGGAUUCUGCGGCUUAAUUUGACUCAACACGGGGAAACUUGCCAGGUUAAAACAAUAGUGGGAUUGACAGUUUGAGAGCGCUUUCUUGAUUGGUUGGGUGGUGGUGCAUGGCCGUUCUUAGUUGGUGGAGUGAUUUGUCUGCUUAAUUGCGUUAACGAACGAGACCUUAACCUGCUUACUAGACUGGCGAUCAUCAAUCGUUAGCUCUUCUUAGAGGGACUUUGGUUGUUUUAACUCCAAGGGAGUUUGAGGCAAUAACAGGUCUGUGAUGCCCUUAGAUAUCCUGGGCCGCACGCGUCAUACAAUGACUAGUUCAGAAAGUUUUCUCCUGACCCGAAAGGGGAUGGGUAAUCUUGAUAAUACUAGUCGUGUUAGGGAUCGAUCUUUGCAAUUAUAGAUCUUGAACGAGGAAUUCCUAGUAAGUGCGGUUCAUCAGACCGUACUGAUUACGUCCCUGCUCUUUGUACACACCGCCCGUCGCUUCUACCGAGUGGGUGGUCCGGUGAGAUAAUUGAACUUCGCAGGUAACUGAGAGGAAAGAUUAUCAAAC
rnacentral:rRNA from 1 species